GGGUAGCAAUACCGCUGACGACCGGCGCACGGGUGAGUAACGCGUAUGCAACCUGCCUAUAACUGGGGAAUAGCUCCCUGAAAGGGGAAUUAACACCGCAUAACACUAUUGAUUCGCAUGGAUUGGUAGUUAAAUGUAGCGAUACAGGUUAUAGAUGGGCAUGCGUGACAUUAGCUAGUUGGUGAGGUAACGGCUCACCAAGGCUACGAUGUCUAGGGGUUCUGAGAGGAAGGUCCCCCACACUGGUACUGAGACACGGACCAGACUCCUACGGGAGGCAGCAGUGAGGAAUAUUGGUCAAUGGGCGCAAGCCUGAACCAGCCAUGUCGCGUGCAGGAAGACUGCCCCUAUGGGUUGUAAACUGCUUUUAUAGUAGAAGAAACACAUCUACGUGUAGAUGUCUGCCAGUAUACUAUGAAUAAGCAUCGGCUAACUCCGUGCCAGCAGCUGC
rnacentral:rRNA from 1 species